GCCCGGGUGGCGGAAUGGCAGACGCGGACCGGCUUAAACCCGGCUGCUCCUCGUGAGCGUGUGGGUUCGAAUCCCACCCCGGGCA
rnacentral:tRNA from 1 species